rnacentral:rRNA from 1 species
UACGUAGGGUGCAAGCGUUGUCCGGAAUUAUUGGGCGUAAAGAGCUCGUAGGCGGUUUGUCGCGUCUGCUGUGAAAACUCAGGGCUUAACUCUGAGCUUGCAGUGGGUACGGGCAGACUAGAGUGCGGUAGGGGAGACUGGAAUUCCUGGUGUAGCGGUGAAAUGCGCAGAUAUCAGGAGGAACACCGGUGGCGAAGGCGGGUCUCUGGGCCAACACUGACGCUCAUGCACGAAAGCGUGGGGAGCAAACAGG